GAAUGCAAGGGUGAUCUGGCUGGGAUAUCUGUCAUUCCAUUGGUCACCAGGGUUGAUCUGGCUGAUCUGACUGGCUCGGCAAGGCUGGUGUCCCUUUGUUUCUCAACCGCUCCGUGUCAGUUCCUCCAAAAGCUGUGCAGUCUUCUAGGUGGAAGAAGACAACUUUCCGUGACAGAAGAGGACCAUUCUUUGGUCAGAGGUGUAAGAGUAGCUGAGAUCCCCUGCUAAAACCAGCAAACGAGCCCUCAAGGGCCAACAGUAGGAGAAUGUAGGGUAGUCAAACUUCCAAGAUCCCGGACUCAUUGAAAUAAGGCACUGCAUGUGAUAGUCUGCCCUCAAAA
rfam:Pteropus alecto contig74241, whole genome shotgun sequence.